UUUGACCACUACAUUCAUUCGCAGUUCUAAGCUUGAAGUCGCAAAAAGCAGUCCAAACAUGUUUAAGUUCCCAGUUGUGCUCUUCGCCCUUGCUGCCUUUGCAGCUUCAGCUGUAAGUGACAAUUCAACAAGACGUUCGUCAUCAAGAAGCCGAGUUGGAAAUUCACAACCUUUUUGAUCCUCUGCAUAUUUUGGUUGGUGACGCGAAAGAAACCUUAUCCAGCGACCUCCGUGAAGCCAACGAGAAAAUCAAAGAAGAAAUCAGGAGGAUCGAAGACGAACCUUAUGAUAUGCUAUUGUCACGACAUUUCUCAGUGCAUCCAAUCAGCUGAAGAAGAACUGAAACGGGUUCACGAUGAAUUCAUCAAGAGCACCUGAAAGCCUUUGGAAGAUAAUUGAAAAAUAAUUAGUACAUUUUUAUUAGAAGGUGACAAAAUGAUUUGAAAAGGGGAACAAACAGCACACAGUCAGUGGUAAUGAGCAAAUAAAAAACAACUAAGAACAAGCAGCAAAUCGUAGUGGUUGAAUAAUUUCAUAGUUUAUUAAUUAGUUAAUUUAUCGGUCGUUUUUUGCUAUUUCAUGCAUUCUAUUAAGGCUAAUCUCAUGUAGUCGAAGAUGGAAUACAUGCUAGCAGUUUGAAUAAAACCGUGUAUGCUUUUUUUCAGUAAAA
rnacentral:lncRNA from 1 species